UACGUAGGGGGCAAGCGUUGUCCGGAAUCAUUGGGCGUAAAGAGCGUGUAGGCGGUUCGGUAAGUCUGCCGUGAAAACCUGGGGCUCAACCCCGGGCGUGCGGUGGAUACUGCCGGGCUAGAGGGUGGUAGAGGCGAGUGGAAUUCCCGGUGUAGCGGUGAAAUGCGCAGAUAUCGGGAGGAACACCGGUGGCGAAGGCGGGUCUCUGGGCCGAUACUGACGCUGAGGAGCGAAAGCGUGGGGAGCGAACAGG
rnacentral:rRNA from 1 species